rnacentral:rRNA from 1 species
UACGUAGGGUGCAAGCGUUAAUCGGAAUUACUGGGCGUAAAGCGUGCGCAGGCGGUUAUGCAAGACAGAUGUGAAAUCCCCGGGCUUAACCUGGGAACCGCAUUUGUGACUGCAUAGCUGGAGUACGGCAGAGGGGGGUGGAAUUCCGCGUGUAGCAGUGAAAUGCGUAGAUAUGCGGAGGAACACCGAUGGCGAAGGCAGUUCCCUGGGCCUGUACUGACGCUCAUGCACGAAAGCGUGGGGAGCAAACAGG